CCUACGGGAGGCAGCAGUGAGGAAUAUUGGUCAAUGGACGAGAGUCUGAACCAGCCAAGUAGCGUGAAGGAUGAAUGCCCUAUGGGUUGUAAACUUCUUUUAUAUGGGAAUAAAACGUUCCACGUGUGGGAUUUUGUAUGUACCAUAUGAAUAAGGAUCGGCUAACUCCGUGCCAGCAGCCGCGGUAAUACGGAGGAUCCGAGCGUUAUCCGGAUUUAUUGGGUUUAAAGGGAGCGUAGGUGGAUUGUUAAGUCAGUUGUGAAAGUUUGCGGCUCAACCGUAAAAUUGCAGUUGAAACUGGCAGUCUUGAGUACAGUAGAGGUGGGCGGAAUUCGUGGUGUAGCGGUGAAAUGCUUAGAUAUCACGAAGAACUCCGAUUGCGAAGGCAGUUCACUGGACUGCAACUGACACUGAGGCUCGAAAGUGUGGGUAUCAAACAGGAUUAGAUACCCGUGUAGUC
rnacentral:rRNA from 1 species